rnacentral:rRNA from 1 species
AGCGAACGCUGGCGGCAGGCCUAACACAUGCAAGUCGAACGAACCCUUCGGGGUUAGUGGCGGACGGGUGAGUAACACGUGGGAACGUGCCUUUAGGCUCGGAAUAACUCAGGGAAACUUGUGCUAAUACCGAAUGUGCCCUUCGGGGGAAAGAUUAUCGCCUUUAGAGCGGCCCGCGUCUGAUUAGCUAGUUGGUGAGGUAAAGGCUCACCAAGGCUACGAUCAGUAGCUGGUCUGAGAGGAUGACCAGCCACAUUGGGACUGAGAUACGGCCCAAACUCCUACGGGAGGCAGCAGUGGGGAAUCUUGCGCAAUGGGCGAAAGCCUGACGCAGCCAUGCCGCGUGGAUGAUGAAGGUCUUAGGAUUGUAAAAUCCUUUCACCGGUGAAGAUAAUGACUGUAGCCGGAGAAGAAGCCCCGGCUAACUUCGUGCCAGCCGCCGCAGUAAAAC